rnacentral:misc_RNA from 1 species
CGCACAUUGCGCCCCUUGGUAUUCCGGGGGGCAUGCCCGUUCGAGCGUCAUUUCACCACUCAAGCCCGGCUUGGUGUUGGGCCCCGGGGGCGACCCGGGCCCGAAAGUCGUCGGCCGGAACGGCUCCGAUCGCAGCGUCGUGAUCAUCAAUUCGCUGGCGAGACGGGCGUUCCGCGCCGGAACCCACUUUCUCAGGUUGACCUCGGAUCGGGUAGGGAUACCCGCUGAACUUAA